UAUUGGACGAUGGGCGAAAGCCUGAUCCGGCCAUGCCACGAGUGUGAAGAAGGCUNUCNNAUAGUNANUCACCUUAAGUUGGGNNNNNGGGCAGUUAGUUAAUACGUUGCUGUUCUGUCGUUACCGACAUUAUAAGCACCGGCUAACUUCGUGCCAGCAUCCGCUGUAAUACGAAGGUUUCAAGCGUUAAUCGGUAUUACUUGUCGUAAAUCGCGCGUAGGUGGUUUGUUAAGUUGGAAGUGUAAGCCCCGGACUCAACCUGGAAACUGCUAUCAAAACUGGCAAGAUAGAGUAUGGCAGAGGGUGGUGGAAUUUCCUGUGUAGCGGUGAAAUGCGUAGAUAUAGGAAGGAACACCAGUGGCGAAGGCGACCACCUGGGCUAAUACUGCCACUGAGGUGCGAAAGCGUGGGGAGCAAACAGG
rnacentral:rRNA from 1 species